rnacentral:lncRNA from 1 species
AGUGGGCGGGGCCAGUAGGGAUCAGUAUGGACCAGUUCAUCCCAGUUCAAACCAGUCCCAUCCCAGUAAGGCCCAGUCCAUCCCAGUCCAUCCCAGUAAAGCCCAGUUCCAUCCCAGUAAGGUCCAGUCUAAUCCCAGCUCAUCCCAGUUCAAACCAGUUCAAACCAGUUCAAUCCCAGUUCCCUCCCAGUAAGGUCAAGUCCCAUCCCAGUCCAUCCCAGUCCAUCCCAGUUUGUCCCAGUUUAUCCCAGUUCAUCCCAGUUCCAUCCCAGUCCAUCCCAGUUCAUCCCAGUAAGGCCCAGUCCAUUCCCAGUUCAUCCCAGUCCAUCCCAGUUCAAACCAAGUCCCUCCCAGUUCAAACCAGUUCAAUCCCAGUCCAUCCCAGUUCAAACCAGUAACCCCCCAGUUCCCUCCCAGUUCAUCCCAGUUUAUCCCAGUUCCCUCCCAGUUCAUCCCAGUUUAUCCCAGUUCCCUCCCAGUUCAUCCCAGUAACCCCCAGACCCCUCCCAGUUCAUCCCAGUAACCCGUCCCAGUGCUCCCAGUCCCUCCCAGUUCGUCCCAGUUCAAACCAGUAACCUCCCAGUUCAUCCCAGUAACCCCUCCCAGUGCUCCCAGUUCACACCAGUAACCCCCCAGUUCCCUCCCAGUUCAUCCCAAUUCAUCCCAGUAACCCCCAGACCCCUCCCAGUAACUCCCAGUCCAUCCCAGUUCAAACCAGUAAUUCCCAGUUCAUCCCAGUAAACACCAGUAACCCGUCCUGGUGCUCCCAGUCCCUCCCAGUUCGUCCCAGUUCAAACCAGUAACCUCCCAGUUUAUCCCAGUAACUCCCAGUUCAUCCCAGUUCACACCAGUAACCCCCCAGAUCCCUCCCAGUUCAUCCCAGUAAUUCCCAGUUCAUCCCAGUUCAAACCAGUAACCCGUCCCGGUGCUCCCAGUCCCUCCCAGUAUCUCCCAGUUCAAACCAGUAACCUCCCAGUCCCUUCCCAGUGCUCCCAGUUUAUCCCAGUUCCCUCCCAGUUCAUCCCAGUAAGCACCAGUAACCCCUCCCAGUCCCUCCCAGUUCAAACCAGUUCAUCCCAGUCUCUCCCCUCCCCCACUCAUUAAUUGCAGCUUCCCUUAAUGAACAACCCCAUUCAUUAACAGCAAUUAAUUCAU